UACGAAGGGGGCUAGCGUUGCUCGGAAUCACUGGGCGUAAAGCGCACGUAGGCGGAUUGCUAAGUCAGGGGUGAAAUCCUGGAGCUCAACUCCAGAACUGCCUUUGAUACUGGCGAUCUCGAGUCCGGGAGAGGUGAGUGGAACUGCGAGUGUAGAGGUGAAAUUCGUAGAUAUUCGCAAGAACACCAGUGGCGAAGGCGGCUCACUGGCCCGGUACUGUCGACUGAGUG
rnacentral:rRNA from 1 species